UUUAACCCUUAGGAAAUCUGAAACACAAUAUUCAAAAAAGACAGGCAUCCAUUUAGAUUUUUCCCAAACAAAACUCCAGGCUGUAGCUCAGAGCAGAAAAUAUUUGAGUUGGUCCACUUAUAGAUGGUAACCGAUCACACCUGCAUUCCUGGGAGAAGGGAGCUGCCAACAGACAUUCUCCUGUUGCCCCCCUCGCACCCCUUCUCCAAUUUUCUCUCCCCUUGUUACCUUGUCUCCCUCUUCUGCGUUCCUCUCCUUCUGUUGCUCCCCUUUCUAUAUGAGUGUGUCUGGGUCCGGCUGGAGAGGCUUUGUCUGUGAACAUUGGAGCCCUGACUGGCCCACGGGGGCCCGAUCCAUGAAUACCCACACUGUGAGAGCCACUCUUUCACUUCACACCACUUUCUCUACUGGAAUGCCUGAGCAGUGAGAUAUUGCAGGGGAAACAUCCUCAGACAUCCUGGUGAACUUCUAUCGCUGCACCAUCGAGAGCAUCCUGACCAACUGUAUAACAGUCUGGUACGGGAACUGCUCUGCCUCGGACCGGAAGGCGUUGCAGAGGGUCGUGAAAACUGCCCAGCGCAUCGCCGGAGCACCACUUCCUGCCAUAAAGGACAUCUACAGGAAGCGGUGUCUGAAAAGGGCUGGGAAAAUCAUCAAAGACCCCAGUCACCCAUCACAUGGACUCUUCACCCUCCUGCCCUCUGGGAGGCGCUACAGGAGCCUCCGGACUAAGACCACCAGGUACCGGAACAGCUUCUUCCCCACAGCUGUCAGACUCCUGAACUCUGCCUCCUGACAUCUGACCCACGUUAAACUCAUGGACUGAACAUACACACACCCACAACCACUAGCACUUUACCACUACUGUAUAGUUCUGUGUAGAUAAUCAUUCUGUACAUACGAUAAUUUUUAAUCCCACAACUGUUUAUAACUUACAUAGUUCACAUUUCUGUAUAACUGUAUAUCUCAGAUUUCUGUAUAGUUUUUAUUUCAUAUUUAUAUCCUGUUCAUAGCCUGUACAUAGCUUGUACUCACUACAGCCUGUACAUACUUAUAGUUAUAGAAUAUUCAUAACAUACUUCACACUGUGUACAUUAUAACAUACCAUAACAGACCCAUUUCUGUAAUAUACUUACAUUUCUGUAAUAUACUUACACAUCUCUAUUAUUGCUAAUUUAUAUUGUAGUAUAUCUAUAUCACGACUAAAGCACUUUCUGGAUGGAUGCAAACUGCAUUUCGUUGCCCUGUACCUGUGCAUGUGCAAUGACAAUAAAGUUGAAUUCUAUUCUAUUCUAUUCUAACAUGAUAGUGUCACACAUUAGACUGAGCCAUUCGUAAAGCCAUAACCUAUAAAUUUGCACAUGCAUAGCACAGUUGUAACUUGCUUUGUAAACUUUACUUUGGG
ensembl:lncRNA